rnacentral:rRNA from 1 species
UACAGAGGGGGCAAGCGUUGUUCGGAAUUACUGGGCGUAAAGGGCGCGUAGGCGGCCUUCUAAGUCGAACGUGAAAUCCCUGGGCUCAACCCAGGAACUGCGUCCGAUACUGGAAGGCUUGAAUCCGGGAGAGGGAUGCGGAAUUCCAGGUGUAGCGGUGAAAUGCGUAGAGAUCGGGAGGAAUACCUAUGGCGAAAGCAGGCAUCUGGGCCAUCACUGACGCUGAGCUGCGAAAGCUAGGGGAGCAAACAGG